rnacentral:rRNA from 1 species
UGCCUAGGAAUCUGCCUGGUAGUGGGGGAUAACGCUCGGAAACGGACGCUAAUACCGCAUACGUCCUACGGGAGAAAGCAGGGGACCUUCGGGCCUUGCGCUAUCAGAUGAGCCUAGGUCGGAUUAGCUAGUUGGUGAGGUAAUGGCUCACCAAGGCGACGAUCCGUAACUGGUCUGAGAGGAUGAUCAGUCACACUGGAACUGAGACACGGUCCAGACUCCUACGGGAGGCAGCAGUGGGGAAUAUUGGACAAUGGGCGAAAGCCUGAUCCAGCCAUGCCGCGUGUGUGAAGAAGGUCUUCGGAUUGUAAAGCACUUUAAGUUGGGAGGAAGGGCAGUAAAUUAAUACUUUGCUGUUUUGACGUUACCGACAGAAUAAGCACCGGCUAACUCUGUGCCAGCAGCCGCGGUAAUACAGAGGGUGCAAGCGUUAAUCGGAAUUAC